AGAUUGAACGCUGGCGGCAUGCCUUACACAUGCAAGUCGAACGGCAGCACGGGAGCAAUCCUGGUGGCGAGUGGCGAACGGGUGAGUAAUAUAUCGGAACGUGCCCAGUCGUGGGGGAUAACGCAGCGAAAGCUGUGCUAAUACCGCAUACGAUCUAUGGAUGAAAGCGGGGGAUCGCAAGACCUCGCGCGAUUGGAGCGGCCGAUAUCAGAUUAGCUAGUUGGUGGGUAAAGCUACCAAGGCGACGAUCUGUAGCUGGUCUGAGAGGACGACAGCCACACUGGAACUGAGACACGGUCCAGACUCCUACGGGAGGCGAGCAGGUCGGGAAUUUUGGAACAAGUGGGCGACGAAGCCUAGAUUCCGAGUACC
rnacentral:rRNA from 1 species